rnacentral:tRNA from 1 species
GGGCAAUUAGUUUAGUGGAAGAACAGAUGACUUCUAAUCAUCUAGCAAAGGUUCAACUCCUUUAUUGCCCU